rnacentral:rRNA from 1 species
UUUGAUGGCGACCGGCGCACGGGUGAGUAACACGUAUCCAACCUGGCCGAUGACUCGGGGAUAGCCUUUCGAAAGAAAGAUUAAUACCCGAUGGCAUAGUUCUUCCGCAUGGUGGAACUAUUAAAGAAUUUCGGUCAUCGAUGGGGAUGCGUUCCAUUAGGUUGUUGGCGGGGUAACGGCCCACCAAGCCUUCGAUGGAUAGGGGUUCUGAGAGGAAGGUCCCCCACCAUUGGAACUGAGACACGGUCCAAACUCCUACGGGAGGCAGCAUG